rnacentral:rRNA from 1 species
UUCUGGCUCAGGAUGAACGCUAGCGACAGGCUAACACAUGCAAGUCGAGGGGCAGCACGGGAGUAGCAAUACAACUGGUGGCGACCGGCGCACGGGUGAGUAACGCGUAUGCAACCUACCUAUCAGAGGGGAAUAACCCGGCGAAAGUCGGACUAAUACCGCAUAAAACAGGGGCACCGCAUGGUGAUAUUUGUUAAAGAGAUUCGCUGAUAGAUGGGCAUGCGUUCCAUUAGGUAGUUGGUGAGGUAACGGCUCACCAAGCCGACGAUGGAUAGGGGAACUGAGAGGUUGGUCCCCCACACUGGUACUGAGACACGGACCAGACUCCUACGGGAGGCAGCAGUGAGGAAUAUUGGUCAAUGGGCGGGAGCCUGAACCAGCCAAGUCGCGUGAAGGAAGAAGGAUCUAUGGUUCGUAAACUUCUUUUGCGAGGGGAAUAAAGUGCAGGACGUGUCCUGUUUUGUAUGUACCCUGAGAAUAAGGAUCGGCUAACUCCGUGCCAGCAGCCGC